CAACUUUCUAUCAUAUCAGCUCCUGAAAGGCCUAGCUAGACUGAAUCAUAUCUUUUUCUUCUUCUUCUUCUUCUUCUUUUGGAGCUGGAGAUUGAAAUUCACUCAUGUUAAUAAGCAUGCGCUUUACCACUGAGUCGCACCCCAGCCCCAGGCUUAUUUCUUAAGCAAAAUUUAGGUUUAGUUGCUCACAGGAAAAGAUUUCAAGGGAAGAGACUGACUCUAUGUGAGCUAUAAAUGCAGCCAGUUUCCUGUCAGCAUUUUCUGGAAGUCUUAAUUUGAUGACGAAUGUCUCUAGUGUGCAUUUACCACUGGAAACUUAAAAGAGCUUGGAUUUUUUUAAUUAUCUAAAUAUAGAUAGCCACCUCUGGGAGCUCUGAUAAUAAGUAUAGGUUCUACAACUAAUUACUGCUUUCUCUGUGAACAACGCGGAAAACUCUUUUCUUGUCAAAGAAAACCGCAGCAAUAAAACAAAGUUGUAUGACUAAAAACACCAGUUGUGAACAAAGACAUAAAAGGAGAUAAGAAUAUGAUAUUCUUGAGAAUAAUGG
rnacentral:lncRNA from 1 species